UACGGAGGGUGUGAGCGUUGUCCGGAAUCAUUGGGCGUAAAGGGCGCGUAGGUGGCCUGUGCAAGCGUGCGGUGAAAGCUCGGGGCUCAACCCCGAGUCGGCCGUGCGAACUGCUGGGCUCGAGCACUGUAGAGGCAGGCGGAAUUCCGGGUGUAGCGGUGGAAUGCGUAGAGAUCCGGAAGAACACCGGUGGCGAAGGCGGCCUGCUGGGCAGUGGCUGACACUGAGGCGCGACAGCGUGGGGAGCAAACAGG
rnacentral:rRNA from 1 species